AACGAACGCUGGCGGCAUGCCUAACACAUGCAAGUCGAACGAGACCUUCUGGUCUCGUGGCGCACGGGUGCUUAACGCGUGGGAACCUGCCCUUAGGUUCGGAAUAACUCCCCGAAAGGGGUGCUAAUACCGGAAAAUGUCUUCGGACCAAAGAUUUAUCGCCUUUGGAUGGGCCCGCGUUGGAUUAGCUAGUUGGUAGGGUAAAAGCCUACCAAGGCGACGAUCCAUAGCUGGUCUGAGAGGAUGAUCAGCCACACUGGGACUGAGACACGGCCCAGACUCCUACGGGAGGCAGGAGUGGGGAAUAUUGGACAAUGGGCGAAAGCCUGAUCCAGCAAUGCCGGGUGAGUGAUGAAGGCCUUAGGGUUAUAAAGCUCUUUUACCCGGGAUGUUAAUGACAGUACCGGGAGAAUAAGCUCCGGCUAACUCCGUG
rnacentral:rRNA from 1 species